rnacentral:rRNA from 1 species
UUGAUCAUGGCUCAGAUUGAACGCUGGCGGCAGGCUUAACACAUGCAAGUCGAGCGGGGAUAGGGUGCUUGCACCUGAUUCCUAGCGGCGGACGGGUGAGUAAUGCUUAGGAAUCUGCCUAUUAGUGGGGGACAACAUUCCGAAAGGGAUGCUAAUACCGCAUACGCCCUACGGGGGAAAGCAGGGGAUCUUCGGACCUUGCGCUAAUAGAUGAGCCUAAGUCGGAUUAGCUAGUUGGUGGGGUAAAGGCCUACCAAGGCGACGAUCUGUAGCGGGUCUGAGAGGAUGAUCCGCCACACUGGGACUGAGACACGGCCCAGACUCCUACGGGAGGCAGCAGUGGGGAAUAUUGGACAAUGGGGGGAACCCUGAUCCAGCCAUGCCGCGUGUGUGAAGAAGGCCUUUUGGUUGUAAAGCACUUUAAGCGAGGAGGAGGCGCUCUAGGAUAAUACCCUAGAUGCGUGGACGUUACUCGCAGAAUAAGCACCGGCUAACUCUGUGCCAGCAGCCGCGGUAAUACAGAGGGUGCGAGCGUUAAUCGGAUUUACUGGGCGUAAAGCGCGCGUAGGUGGCUAAUUAAGUC